AUUGAACGCUGGCGGAAUGCUUUACACAUGCAAGUCGAACGGCAGCACGGGGCAACCUGGUGGCGAGUGGCGAACGGGUGAGUAAUAUAUCGGAACGUGCCCAAUCGUGGGGGAUAACGUAGCGAAAGUUACGCUAAUACCGCAUACGAUCUACGGAUGAAAGCGGGGGAUCGCAAGACCUCGCGCGAAUGGAGCGGCCGAUAUCAGAUUAGGUAGUUGGUGGGGUAAAGGCUCACCAAGCCAACGAUCUGUAGCUGGUCUGAGAGGACGACCAGCCACACUGGAACUGAGACACGGUCCAGACUCCUACGGGAGGCAGCAGUGGGGAAUUUUGGACAAUGGGCGAAAGCCUGAUCCAGCCAUUCCGCGUGCAGGAUGAAGGCCUUCGGGUUGUAAACUGCUUUUGUACGGAACGAAACGGUCUGCCCUAAUACGGUGGGCUAAUGACGGUACCGUAAGAAUAAGCACCGGCUAACUACGUGCCAGCAGCCGCGGUAAUACGUAGGUGCAAGCGU
rnacentral:rRNA from 1 species